AAUAAAUGAAUCAAAUUUUGCGUGAAUAUAACACGACUUUCCAUGAGAUCAUGUUAGAUUAGCAUUAUGAUAUAACCGUGGCUCUCGAUCCUGACGUAAAAUAUGUUUAUUUAUUCAGAAAGCCAUGCGCUCUACCAGAAGGACAAUAGAUUACAGCAACGCACCUCACACAGAUAUCAUGAAUGAAUGACGUCAGUGCUGUCGCCCAUACCGGUCCCUGCCUCCCAUGAGCCCUUCACCUUUAACCCAUUAAAGAGAAGCAAACAGUCCCGGCCGUGUAAACGUGUAUUCUGGUGAAAAAGCAUCUCAAUGUCAAGAUAAAUGCGUGGACUGCUCUCUGCGGUUAAUCGGCCCAGUCAGUCCUUGCUUUCACCCAAGGGAAGCCCUGACAGAGCAUCAAUUAGCAUUCCACACAAGCCUAACCGCGGCCCCCCGAAGGACCCCCGCUGAUGUCAUCACACACAGCACUUGCUCCACACGAAAUCAAAGGAGCGAUUUACUUCCAUUACACGCCGUUCAGAGGUUUACAUUACUGGAAUACUUUUACGCUGGACGCUUUCCACCCCGGAAAUGGUGUGAAUUUAACACUUCAUAAAGAGCAAAUACAGUCACAUGAUGAUUGUGACUCCUGGUGGGUCGAGGCAGACAGAUGGGAAAUGACUGUUCCUGGAGCAGCUCGAGUGUGUUCCCGCUGUUCCUGUUGUGAAUCCAGCAUGCGCUGGUUUGGCAGUUGCUCGCAGUAUAGAGCACAUACAGCAGAUCAUGACCACCUGCCUCUAAAUUCCCGUUGUCCAAACAGUAGUGCAAUGGGAAAUGACAUCAUUGGAAACACCUGUACCCAACCGCCCAUAUGCCAGUCUCUUUUCUCUAUUUUUUUUAGGGUGGUGUGCCCUAUUUAGAUGUGAUGUGUCAAAUUUUCAACAACAAGCUAUUUGUCUGGCUUGACACAAACAUGAGUAUCUUCAAUUUAUUGAUGGCAAUUAGGGAUUCAGGAAUUGCUAGCUUUAAUUGCUUGUCGCUUUAUCACAGUGUCUGCCUAAGAGACAGGCAUUUAUUUAUAUGCCAUUUUUUUAAAUGUUAAAAGUAGGUCCAACCUCAUUAAAAAUUUAAUCAUAUCCAA